rnacentral:rRNA from 1 species
GACGAACGCUGGCGGCGUGCCUAAUACAUGCAAGUAGAACGCACAGUUUAUACCGUAGCUUGCUACACCAUAGACUGUGAGUUGCGAACGGGUGAGUAACGCGUAGGUAACCUGCCUGGUAGCGGGGGAUAACUAUUGGAAACGAUAGCUAAUACCGCAUAAUAUUGAUUAUUGCAUGAUAAUUAAUUGAAAGGUGCAAUUGCACCACUACCAGAUGGACCUGCGUUGUAUUAGCUAGUAGGUGAGGUAACGGCUCACCUAGGCGACGAUACAUAGCCGACCUGAGAGGGUGAUCGGCCACACUGGGACUGAGAAACGGCCCAGACUCCUACGGGAGGCAGCAGUAGGGAAUCUUCGGCAAUGGACGAAAGUCUGACCGAGCAACGCCGCGUGAGUGAAGAAGGUUUUCGGAUCGUAAAGCUCUGUUGUAAGAGAAGAACGGGUGUGAGAGUGGAAAGUUCACACUGUGACGGUAUCUUACCAGAAAGGGACGGCUAACUACGUG